UGGAGUGAAAGAGAGAACUUUGUUUUCAGCUAUAGAAAUACCCUUCAUCAUUCUUAAGAACAGUCAGCCAAAUCAAAAGCAUUACAAACAGAUAUUAGACACUUUCACUGUCAUUAAAGUCAAUGGCAAACUCCCAUUGACAUCCAUGUAUGCAGGAUUGAGCCCCCCAAACUAUCCAACACCGCAACUGUUGUUAAUUUUGCUUAAUUAUAACCUAUUUUCUUCAAAUGAACCAAUGCACUAUUCUUGGAGACUCACCUGUUUGGAAGAUUUGAAAUUGGAGUAACAAGCUGCUUUGGAGGUAGAGGGGGACAAAGAAAUGCUAGAAAAAAGUCAGCAUCUCAAACUGAGAGAUAUGAAGGUGGCUUCAAACAUUCCCUUUCCCCCAAAAUAAAAACUGUUUCUUGGAAGAUUAGCAGCUAAAAUUUCAGCUGUGCUACCAGACACCUGGUUCUCCAAAACUGUUAGAAUUCUCCAGGAGGAAGAGGGUUGCUCCUGAGAGAUGCUGAGCGUACUCUACUCCCACUGAAGUCAGCUCUCCGGAUCGGGUCAUCAGUGAACAGAAACUGUCAGAUCAAAAAGAAACACCCAGAAACAAAAUGUGAUAAUGUCAAGGAACGAUGUGAUAAGGGAUGAAAGAUCUGAACUAUGGUGGGUCAGAGGAAGGUGUCUCUCAUUGUUCACAGAAAGAUUACUGUAAGCCAGGAUCUGCAUGUGCUAAUGUCUGUGAGAACACAGGAAACCUAGAGGAACAAGGGAAUUCUUAUAUUACUUAACUGAAUCUUGUAGUGUUGCCAUUAGCCAGGAAAAAAACAACUAUUCUACUAAAUCCAAUAAAGAGUUAUCAGGAACAUUUUUAAGUGACACAUCAUGAAUGAGCAUUUGUUAUUUAUUUGCAUUAUUUGAGAAAUGUUUAACCACAAUAACAGGUGUAAAAUAAAGUGUAUUAUAUACCAGCAUGAGGUGAUCUCUGUCCCCCUCACUCACCUAGGGCAUCAUCCAAAGACCAUUGACUUUAACAGGCUUUGGAAUAAGCCCAGAGUGCAAUAAAAUAAGUGGAUUGGGCCAGACCAUAAGCAGUUUCUUACCUCACCCAAACUGACAAUGUAAACAUGCUCUAAUAAUAGCCUACAUUUUUAUAGCACUGUUCA